rnacentral:piRNA from 1 species
UACACAUUGAGACCAACGUACCUCAGAGA